UCCCUGGUGGUCCAGUGGUUAGGACUCUGCACUUUCACUGCAUGGGGCAAGGUCUGAUCCCUGGCUGGGGAC
rnacentral:tRNA from 1 species